GUAGCUCAAUCGGUAGAGCAUCAGACUCUUCAUCUUAAGGCGGUGGGUUCGAGCCCCACGUUGGGCA